UACAGAGGGUGCGAGCGUUGUCCGGAAUCACUGGGCGUAAAGGGCGCGUAGGCGGCCUGCUAAGUAGAGGGGUGAAAUCCUGCGGCUCAACCGCAGGGCUGCCUUCUAAACUGUCAGGCUGGAGCACGGUAGAGGCAGAUGGAAUUCCCGGUGUAGCGGUGGAAUGCGUAGAGAUCGGGAAGAACACCAGUGGCGAAGGCGGUCUGCUGGGCCGUUGCUGACGCUGAGGCGCGACAGCGUGGGGAGCAAACAGG
rnacentral:rRNA from 1 species